rnacentral:lncRNA from 1 species
GAAAGGGGCAGCAAGACAGAAAACUUAAAGGCAAUAAAUAACUCCAGACAAACACCACAGAAAAAAGUGAAACUCCACCCGACCCCCACCAGCAAAAACCAAGUGGAAAGCCUAGACUUCCAUCCCUGUCUGGCUGAAAGAAAAAGGGAGCAACUUCACUCUAUUAACAAUAAAAAUCUCUAAAAAUAGAAUAACAAGUCCAUACUGACAUAAGCUAUUGAAUAAUAAAUAAACGGGAGAGAAGAGACAAUCUCCUGUGCAGAAGAAUUCCAAGUAAUUAGCAGGUGGAACAUAACUCCCCACUCCCUGAGUGUAAGUUAUAGAUCGUGACUUCUUUCCAGAGAGCAGCAUGAAAAGAGGGGUAAUGGAAACCUGACUGUGGAGAAACCU